ACAGUCACAGGCGUUGCAUGACCCCAAGCAGAAGAACACUCACGUCAAUCCACAGAAUGGAACCCGAAAAUCCAGGAGACAACGCUAGCUAUUCCUGUGAACCUCUAGAGGAUCUGCACCUGCUCUUCAAGCAACAACCAUGAGGAAAGUAACUAGAAUUGUAGAUCCCCAUGGCCCUCCCUUGUCAUAAUUUUUCUCUUUACUGUUCUCUUACCCCCUUUCACACUCACUGCACCUCCUCCAUGCUGCUGUACUACCAGUAGCUCCCCUUACCAAGAGCUUCUAUGAAGAAUGCGGCUUCCCGAAUAUAUUAAUGCCCCAUUGUAUAGGAGUUUUUCUAAAUGAAACCCCACUUUCACCCCCACAUCCAUAUGCCCCGCAACUGCUAUAACUCUGCCACUCUUUGCAUGCAAGCAAAUACUCAUUAUUGGACAGGGAAAAUAAUUACUCCCAGUUGUCCUGGGGGCUUGGAGCCACUGUCUGUUGGACCUUACUUCACCCAUACCAGUAUGUCUGAUGGGGGUGGAGUUCAAGAUCAGGCAAGAGAAAAACAUGUAAAGGAAGUAAUCUCCCAAUUGACUCAGGUACAUAGCACCCCUAGCCCCUACAAAGGACUAGACCUCUCAAAACUACAUGAAACCCUCCAUACCCAUACUCACCUGGUAAGCCUAUUUAAUACCACCCUCACUGGGCUCCAUGAAGUCUCGGCCCAAAACCCUACUAACUGUUGGAUGUGCCUCCCCCUGCACUUCAGGCCUACAUUUCAAUCCCUGUAUCUUUAACCUCCUUGUUAAGUUUAUCUCUUCCAGAAUCGAAGCUGUAAAACUACAAAUCGUUCUUCAAAUGAAGCCCCAGAUGCAGUCCAUGACUAAGAUCUACUGUGGACCCCUGGACCAGCCUGCUAGUUCAUGCUCUGAUGUUGAUGACAUUGAAGGCACCCCUCCUGAGGAAAUCUCAACUGCACGACCCCUACUACGCCCCAAUUCAGCAGGAAGUAGUUAAGAGGUCGUCGGCCAACCUCUCCAACAGCACUUGGGUUUUCCUGUUGAGAGGGGGACUGAGAGACAGGACAAGCUGGAUUUCCUAGGCCAACUAAGAAUUCCUAAGCCUAGCUGGGGAAGGAGACCGCACCCACCUCUAAACACGGGGCUUGUAACUCAGCUCACACCCAACCCAUCAGGUGGUAAAAAGGGCUCACUAAAAUACCAAUUAGACUAAAAAGAGGAGGUAAAGAAAUAGUCAGAUCAUCUAUUGCCUGAGAGCACAGGGGGAGGGACAAUGAUCGGGAUAUAAACCUAGGCAUUUGAGCCGGAUGGGUAACCCCCUUUGGGUCACUUCCCGUUGUAUGGGAGCUCUGUUUUCACUCUAUCAAAUCUUGCAAUUGAAAAACAAAAAACAAAAAACACUGGUUUGCAGCGUAUGUAUACACACACACACGUGCAUAAACACAUAUUCACACAUAUGUACACAUACAUACAUGUAUGUGUUUUACAGCAAUUUGAGGUGGGCAUAGGCAUAUCAUUUAUUCAUUAACCCCCCCAACAGAAAACUACUGACAUUUACUAUUCACAGCAGGGAGUCCUAUAAAGACUCCCUGAGUCUUUUAAUCAUCUUUUAAUCUUCCCGCACCACUUUCCUAUGAAAGAGAAAUUUGUAGAUGGCACACUUGUUUCAUUUGAAAUAAGCACUCAUGGAUUUUCAUCCGAGUGAACACACAUUAAGUCCACAUUACAAUUAAGUGAAGUGAUGAAAUUUGAAAGAAUGUAUGAAGAUAGCUUUUUAUAGUAUAUAAAUUGUGAUUCGCGGACUUUUUCAUUACUUUGUGUGUAUAUAUUACUCCUUUCCUUGAAAAGCAGUGGCAGCCUUUUAAACAUUUCUAUAGUUUUUGUGGACCUAAACAAAAACACACACUAAAGAAGAAUUGUGAAAUUAAGAAUUGCCCGGUGUGUGCAGUGUGAUUUUAGAGUAAUAAAGUUUGUUUUCUGGUGAAUAAACUAUGUAUUUCCCAUUCAAAGUAACUUGCUUGAAAGUUAUAUUAAUAUAUGGAUACCUAAAGUGCUAAAAACACUUUACCAUUUUUUGAAAUAAUUUACAGUUCAUUUGCAAAAACAAAACAAGCAUUACUUUCAGACACCUACUGUAGCUGUCAUUUAUAUACCUUGGAGAACACAUAUGUUGGUGGGUAUCUUAUCACAGACUGUAAUAUUUUUUCAGUAAAAGUAUGUUGACAUUUUUAUUUUAUAUUGUUGCUAUUUAUAAUUAGUUUCAUUAAAAAUUCCAAACACUUGAAAAGGUAAAAUGAAAAUUUAAAAAAAUAGUCCAGGCUGGGUUUGGUGGCUCACAC
rnacentral:lncRNA from 1 species